rnacentral:misc_RNA from 1 species
AAAGUUACGGUGUUAUCCCUCCUGUAAGCUAAAUCAUUUAUCAUUCCUUACUCUUUGUAUACAGUGCUUCUCUUUUAUAGUCAUGCUUAGCUUUUUGCUCUUAAUUGGUCACUUCCUUUUCUGGUGGCAUUAGCCAGGGGAUAUAAAGGACUUUUAAUGCUCAAAAGCUCUUUUUAGUCUUUAUCGGAUGGAUGAAAAUUGACUAGGAGAAAAUUUGCAUUCCAGAUGCUCUUCUUAUCAGCAUUGUUAUCCAAUUCGUUUUCCUCACUAGAUCACUGUAGCCUUUCUUGUCAACUAUUGGUCUCCAGUUUUUGUGGUUGAGGAUUUUUGUUUUUUAAUUCUGAUCUACUUUUGGUGUCCAAUCUUGCCAAAGUGUGGUCAAAACCUGCUACCUUAAUCCUCAUCUGUUUCCUACUUUGUGUUGGCAUUUUGAUGUGCAAAUUAUGAUAUUACUUUGUACUGAAUUUUCACAGCUGAUUUUACUAAUUAAACAUCUGUUUGAAUCUCAGGGUGAAAACCCAAAGAAGCCAGGG